AGGGGUGUAUUUAUUAGAUAAAAAACCAAUGCCCUUCGGGGCUCUUUGGUGAUUCAUGAUAACUUAACGGAUCGCAUGGCCUUGCGCCGGCGACGGUUCAUUCAAAUUUCUGCCCUAUCAACUUUCGAUGGUAAGGUAUUAGCUUACCAUGGUUUCAACGGGUAACGGGGAAUUAGGGUUCGAUUCCGGAGAGGGAGCCCGAGAAACGGCUACCACAUCCAAGGAAGGCAGCAGGCGCGCAAAUUACCCAAUCCCGACACGGGGAGGUAGUGACAAUAAAUACUGAUACAGGGCUCUUUUGGGUCUUGUAAUCGGAAUGAGUACAAUUUAAACCCCUUAACGAGGAACAAUUGGAGGGCAAGUCUGGUGCCAGCAGCCGCGGUAAUUCCAGCUCCAAUAGCGUAUAUUAAAGUUGUUGCAGUUAAAAAGCUCGUAGUUGAACCUUGGGCCUGGCUGGCCGGUCCGCCUCACCGCGUGUACUGGUCCGGCCGGGCCUUUCCUUCUGGAGAGCCGCAUGCCCUUCAUGGGUGUGUCGGGGAACCAGGACUUUUACUUUGAAAAAAUAAAAUGGUCAAAGCANGCCUUUGCUCGAAUACGUUAGCAUGGAAUAAUAGAAUAGGACGUGCGGNCCUANUUUGUUGGNUUCUAGGACGCCCUAAUGAUUAA
rnacentral:rRNA from 1 species